rfam:Salinicoccus halodurans strain H3B36, complete genome.
GCCACCGUGGCGGAAUUGGCAGACGCGUUGGACUCAAAAUCCAAUUCCCUUUACGGGAGUGCCGGUUCGAUCCCGGCCGGUGGUA